rnacentral:lncRNA from 1 species
CUGGAGAGGAAGAAAGCCGCUCAUUUUCUCGUACGCUGCGUCUCUCAGCCGGGGUCCCCGCGGAGGGGAAAGGCUUGUCAGAGGAGGCUGCGAAAGGUUUUCGCCCGGACCUGCGACGUGUUCGUGUCACCCUCACCGACGGGCCGAGGCUAGCAGUGCCCACUCGGCGGCCGGGCACGAAGCGAUGGACGUCGUCCCGUUACUUUCCGAAACGAGCCGGGGGAGGAAAGCUCCAGCUCCGCCACAGUUCCGCCCUGAAGGCAGAGGCGCCGAGGGUGGUACUUUCCCGUUCCCCACUCCGGGAUUCUGCUCAUCGCAGGGUGCCCCCCCGAGGGGAGUGGGGGCUGGGGGGACCUCCCAGUCCCUUUCCCCGUGAUUAGAGCACUUCUGGAUGGCGCGAGAGGCCAGUUCAAGCGUUUUCGCUUUAGGGGAGGCUUUGAAACCCGAUCUACGCUUGUCCGGGCAGUGCUGUAACCUCUGAGCUGUGCCUUAGAGCCGCGAGCGACCCGCCCCGCAGAAUGCGGACUCACCGGCUCGGAGUUCAGCGGCUCUUCGGGUGGCUACCGGGUCCCUGUCGAUGGGGACAGUGUCCUAGGGCCGGCCGAUCCGCAGCAGCGGGGCCGUUUCCAUCUCGGUGGUGGACAACGUCCUGGGUCACGGCACCGACUCUGCCGGAUUUUUCCCCUCCUCCCGCUUCUCGGUCUCUUGCUUCAGAACUUCCUACAGCCGUGCCUUGAGCUCAGCGGGAGCCAACCGGGGAAAUGUCCAGGAAUAUUUUCAAAUACCUCUGGAAAAGUCUCUUUGUCUCCACUGCCUAAAGAGGAACGGAAGGAGGGAACGUCCCAACUGAAAUAGCUGGAGCAGAACUACUUCACCUACGUGCUGCACACUGGGCUGUGCAUUGUUUCUUUUUGAGGACCUGGUGUUCAUUAUGAUGAUGGAUAAACCUAAUCCGUGAUGUUAAAAGUCCUGGUUAUUUUUCAUCGGUUUAACGUGGCAGUCACCUCUUUUGUCUCAUGCAGUGCCUGGGCAUUCGGCGAGCCAUCAGAGCCUCGGGAGGGGCAACCCUCACAGCUGCUCAGUCCGAGGCAUGUACCUCUGAGACGUCCCAGAGUCAGAGGAGCUGAUCUAAGCCACGUGUCAAUCGAAAUUCCACCACCUUGGCUGCUUUUUCCAAAAUCUCAACGUCUCCCCGUGAAACUGGCAGCUUUUCAUUAUGGGUACAGGUGGUGUAAAAGGCCGUCUGUGUUGAUGGUGCAAUACUGUGAUGCUUGAGGAUCUGCCUUAACAUCGCUAGAAGCUGGAUUUCAUCAGAAAGUGAGAGUGUCACGUGCCUUGUAUUUGAGUAAGCAUGAAACAACUUUCCAGCGGUGCAGGUUAUCUUGGGGCGUUCAGUUGCUUCUUUGCAUACAAAAACAUUCUUAUCAUGAGCAAAGCUCAGAUGUCUGGCAUUUUUUUUCCGAGUUGCUGCUCAAUGGAUAUAGAAACGUUGCAGAUAACUACUCUAACACAGGAGAAAAGACAUUGCAUCCAGUACCCUUGGCAGCAAUGUUUUUUUUUUUUUUUUUUCCUUUUUAGUAGCCGUUUUAUCGAUAAAAACAUCUUACUACUAUUUUUUUUUCUAAACAAGUUUAAUUUAGACCUUAGCACAGCGUACACCUGAAAAUAAAGUAGUGCUGUUCUUUAUAUUCUCAUCCCUGUGAAUGUGGCAUGAAACUUUUCAUCCAAAGAAGAUCUACUUAUGUGAGGUAAUCUGAGGAAGACUGAUAGCCUUCAGCAAUGCAUUUCCACAAGAACCAGUGAUAAGUAGGAGCAGAAGAGCAAAAAGAUUCCAAUCAAAGCACAACAUUCCUAAAAGAGGAACAUUGAUGAUGAUCACUGCAGGAGCCGUCCUAUUGAUGGAACAAAAUGUUCAGAUUGAGAAGGAGGCGUUGCCAAAAAGCUCAGUUGCCAUGGAAGAAAAACAUCAGCCAUGAGUGGAAGGAAGGGACCUCUUUCCUAAAUUUGUCCCUGUGCUCUGUCCUUGUAAGACUGACAUGAACAACCUAUGAAGACCCUCUUCCCAGUGUUAUGCCUACAGGAACAUGUAGAUUUGCUAUAAGAAAUGAAAAGAAGGGCAUGAGAAUACAGGAUGCUUUUGGAAAUAAUUCAGUUAAAUCCUCAAGGUUUCUGACAGAGGAACACUGAUCGCUGUCAUCAUGGGAGCUGUCUCACCAACCAGUAAAUGCAUUCAGUACAUUGCACAGCGCACCCAUUUGACUUGGAGAACAAGCAUGAAAGAUUAGUUGGCGCCUCAUUUUAAGUAAAUAUAAAGACUUCUAGUCAACUACUACAUUGAAACAUGCUGUGGGUAAGUACUGGGUUAAAACAACUGAACAAACAAAAGCAACUGAAAGCGAAGCGUAAGGAAUGGAAAGUGUCAAAGACGAAGCAAACUUAAUGUGAUACGCAGAGAAGCACGAGAGGCAAUUCUCGCUGUGAGCCACAUGAUGCCACUCUGAGCUAAGAAACACACAAUACGACUGGGAAAAGGGAGGGGAACACCUUCUGGUGUCCAUGGGAGGAUUAUUAUUAUUAUUAUUAUUUUUUUCUGAACAAGCAGCCACUGAUACUACAGGUAAGUCAUUCGUACCCAAAAGGUAUGUAGCUGAGAUACAGAUGUAGGGUUUUGCACUGCUUAAUUGUAUGCUCUUUAUGCUGGAAGGAAUAAAUGUUUCCUGGGUACUGCCUGUAGGUUUCGAGCCUUCUGAUGAUUGUGUGCAUACCAACGGGGAGAGCUGUUUCUCUCACUGGUGACAAUCCCUUCCCUGGAUGUCAGCACAUUUGGAAAUAGAGGAAAUCUCUCAGGAGGCAUUAUUUAGUGGAUGUAAUCAUUUUGUACUUGACUUCUCCCCAGUUUGUGCACUUGCCCAGUUGGCUUCAGUCUAGGUCGUGUGCUCUCUUGUAGCAUGGCUCAAUCUAAAAUGUGAAUAGAUGCUGAAGUUAUAUAUCAAUGUCAGAGGAACUAAUUCUUUACAGCCACGUGUUUUUUUUUUUGUUGUUGUUGUUGUUUUGUUGUUUUUUUUUGUUUUGGUUGUUAUUUUGUUUUGUUUUGUUUUUGAGGACUUGCCACCACUGAAAGAACUAAAAUAACUCAUUUAAAAAUAAAAACUCCACCAAUUAGACUGCUUUUUGCAGAUUUAUCUCAGCUUCUUCAUGUGGACUUGAUGACUUCUGAAUAUAGAUAGAAGUGUGUAAAAGACAAAUUGUUUGUGCAUCUGACUGCUCAGUGUUACAAUGCUUGACAACUUGCUUUACCCUCUGUAGAAGAAGAGAAUCUCACGUGGGCUGGAUUUGAGUAAGCACAAAACAGCUUUUCCAAUGUGUAGGUUAUUUUGGAUUGUUCCUUUGUGUAUACAGUCACCUUUAUCCUAGCAAAGCUCGGAUCACUGGCAUUGUGGGAUCACUUAUUUAAGCCUUUGCUCAGUGGAUGUGGAGGUGAUGCAGACAAGUAUUUGGAAAACAAAAGAAAGGACAGCAUGUCCUACACUCUUGGAAACAAUGCUUGUUUUGUCUUUAGCAGAUGUUUUGCUGAUUAAAACUUCCUGCUACACUUUUUUUGGAGCAAGCUUAAUUUAGAUGUUAGCGCAGCUCUAAGAUACUUGAAAAUAAAAC